rnacentral:rRNA from 1 species
AGCGAACGCUGGCGGCAGGCUUAACACAUGCAAGUCGAGCGGGCACCUUCGGGUGUCCGCGGCAGACGGGUGAGUAACACGUGGGAACGUACCCUUCGGUUCGGAAUAACGCUGGGAAACUAGCGCUAAUACCGGAUACGCCCUUAUGGGGAAAGGUUUACUGCCGAAGGAUCGGCCCGCGUCUGAUUAGCUAGUUGGUGGGGUAACGGCCUACCAAGGCGACGAUCAGUAGCUGGUCUGAGAGGAUGAUCAGCCACACUGGGACUGAGACACGGCCCAGACUCCUACGGGAGGCAGCAGUGGGGAAUAUUGGACAAUGGGCGCAAGCCUGAUCCAGCCAUGCCGCGUGAGUGAUGAAGGCCUUAGGGUUGUAAAGCUCUUUUGUCCGGGACGAUAAUGACGGUACCGGAAGAAUAAGCCCCGGCUAACUUCGUG